GACGAAGGGGGCUAGCGUUGUUCGGAAUUACUGGGCGUAAAGCGCGUGUAGGCGGUUAUCCAAGUCGGGUGUGAAAGCCUUGAGCUCAACUCAAGAAAUGCACUCGGUACUGGGUGACUAGAGGACCGGAGAGGAUAGUGGAAAUUCCCAGUGUAGUGGUGAAAUACGUAGAGAUUGGGAAGAACACCAGUGGCGAAGGCGGCUAUCUGGACGGUUUCUGACGCUAAGACGCGAAAGCGUGGGGAGCAAACAGG
rnacentral:rRNA from 1 species